rnacentral:rRNA from 1 species
GGUGAACGCUGGCGGUAGGCCUAACACAUGCAAGUCGAACGGCAGCACAGUAAGAGCUUGCUCUUACGGGUGGCGAGUGGCGGACGGGUGAGGAAUACAUCGGAAUCUACUUUUUCGUGGGGGAUAACGUAGGGAAACUUACGCUAAUACCGCAUACGACCUACGGGUGAAAGCAGGGGAUCUUCGGACCUUGCGCGAUUGAAUGAGCCGAUGUCGGAUUAGCUAGUUGGCGGGGUAAAGGCCCACCAAGGCGACGAUCCGUAGCUGGUCUGAGAGGAUGAGCAGCCACACUGGAACUGAGACACGGCCCAGACUCCUACGGGAGGCAGCAGUGGGGAAUAUUGGACAAUGGGCGCAAGCCUGAUCCAGCCAUACCGCGUGGGUGAAGAAGGCCUUCGGGUUGUAAAGCCCUUUUGUUGGGAAAGAAAAGCAGCAGGUUAAUACCCCGCUGUUAUGACGGUACCCAAAGAAUAAGCACCGGCUAACUUCGUG